ACACAUGAGAACACAUACAGGUGAUAAACCUCAUGACUGUGACGUAUGCGGUAAAAAGUUUAGUCGUCUUUGUAAUUUACAGACACACAUGAGAAUACAUACCGGUGAUUACCCUCAUGAAUGUGGUGUAUGCGGUAAAGGAUUCGGUCGGCUUGAUCAUUUACAGAAUCACACAAAAACACAUAAUGGCGAUAAACCUCAUAUCGGUGAUGUAUCCGUUAAAAACUUUAAUUAGCUUGGUAUUUUACAUGAUACUAGUAAUACAUAAUAGCGAUAAAACUUAUAUCGGUGAUGUAUGCGUUAUAAAGUUUAAUGAGCCUGGUAUUUUACAUGAGAACAAAUACAGGUGAUAAACCUCUUGAAAGCGAUAUAAUUAUAUAAGUGGUUAAGUGUUUAGCCACGAUAGUUUACAGAUUAACAUGAGAACUCAUACCUAUAGUAAGAUCUGUGACGUAUACAUAUAUGGCAAAGAAUUUAUGCAUUUUAUUGAUUUGCACAUAAUCAUAAUUGAAGCAUAUGAAAAUAUAUAUAGCAGAUACACCUUAUGUUUGUGAUGUACGCGAUAAAGGAGUUACCAAUCCUAGUAGUUAACAGUUUCGCAUGAAAACACAUACAGUCGAUAAAUCUCAUUAUUGUGAUAUUGAUAGUAAAAUGUUUAGUUAUCUUAGAAAUGUACAGAGAUACAUGAGAACACAUAUACAGCCGAUAAAUCUCAUUAUUGUGAUGUUGAUGGUAAAAUGUUUAGUGAUCUUAGAAAUGUACAGAGACACAUGAGAACACAUAUAGGAAAAUUACUGUGAUGUUGGAAGUAAAGGCUUUAUUUAUAUUAAAAAAUGUGCAGAGACACAUGAGAACACAUACAGGAGAUAAAUCUUAUUACUUUGAUUUUAGUGGUAAACGUUUUAGUUAUAUAAAAAAUGUGCAGAGACACAUGCAAACCCAUAUGUGAGAUACGUUUUAUGUAUGUGGUAAAAGUUUUAAUCGGCUUUGUAAUUUACAGAAACACAUUACAAGACUUGUUUUUGUAUACAUUGUAUACAGCCUGUAAACUCACAGGAAUGUAUUUACUGCAUGUGUGUCAGAAUUCAUUGAAAUUUGUGACUUACAAAGACACUUUAGAAUACAAACUUGGGUAAAACUCGUUCAAAGGACAAAGGACUUUUGUGUUAAAGAAUUAAUCCAUUAAACAUUGAUAAAGAUUGUGUAGAUGUAAGAACAUUUAAGCACAUGUAUAUAUCCAUAUAUCUGUUUAUUGAGAUAAACCUUGAAUUUUUCAUUUAUGUGGUGGGAUGUUUAGAGCGAGUUGUAAUUUUUAAUUAUAUAUAUAUAUAGAAAGACACAUUAGAACACAAAAGAAGAUGUGGUAUGCUUGCCAAUGAGACAACUGUCCACAAGAGAACACAUAGGAACACAUGUAGGAGAUAACCCUCAUAUAUAUGAUAAUUUGAGAAUCAUGUAUGUGAUAUUUAGUAAACACUUCAGUCGGCUUAGUAAUUUUCAAUGACACAAGUGAAUACCUGCAUGGGAUAAACAUGUAUGUGAUGUAUUGCUAACGGGUUUAGUCCGCUUUCUAAUUUGCUGAGAACACACAUAUUACAUUAGAACACAUUAUGUAUGAUAAUGUGAUGUUUGGUGAAGGGUUUAGUCGGCUUUCUAAUUUGCAGACACAGUAGACAGUGGCGUAGCUAGGUCAUUUUUAAAUGUACGUCCGAACCUCGGUCCUAUUUGAUCCAGGCCAAUGAACCAGCUGGUAGUAGAUGAGCGGGUGCUAAGCCUCCGGAAGUUUUUAAGUUAUCGAGAAUGACAUACCAUUCCUGUCAUUGAAAACUCAUAUCAAUAACAACAUUCUUUAGAUUCAAAAUGCUUAUUUUUUAUGUUUAAUCUAUUCAUUGUUUAUUUAGAAUCGUAAAAAAACAUGAAAUGAUUAAUUUUCUGAGUUGUUCAGGUGCAAUAUUAAAAUGUGUAAAUAGAACCCUGGUUUUCGCCUGAAAUUUCUCCCCGUAAAAGUUUAUUCAUUUAUCAGUCCUUUAAAGGAUUUAAACAAAUCAAAUAUUUUCAUUUAAUUUCUGCACAAGUUUUAUAACAAAAUAUGGAGGUUUAUAUCAUGUAAAUUAACUCGACAUCAUAGAUACCAGGAUGGAAAUUUAUUCUAUCGCUAUACGCGUUUUCCUCCAAGAAAGUUUCAUUAACUUUGACCACGGUUUUAUAAAUAAUUUAUAUGUACCAAAUUUUAACCUCAGAAUGUAACUUCUUCAAGAAAUUCCUUUUAAAAAUCCAUAAAUAACGGGAAAAUUCAUCAUAUAUAAUUUCGUCAUGUCUGAUGCGCUGGAUACUCUUUUGACCAUAAACAGUUUUUGUCCAGAUAUCGUAAAAUCAUACGACGGUUUGAAAAAGUUAUUUAAAAUAUAUAAAAACUUUAACCACAUACUGAACCUACAUCUACACAGUUCAACAAAUUGAAUGAGCAAAGCCCAUACCGCAUAGUCAGCAAUAAAAGGCCCCGAUAAGACAAUGUAAAACAAUUCAAACGAGAAAACUAACGGCCUUAUUUAUGUAAAAAAAAAUGAACAAAAAACAAAUAUGUAACACAUAAACAAACGACAACCACUGAAAUACAGGCUCCUGACUUGGGACAGUCACAUACAAUGUACAUAAUGUGGCGGGGUUAAACAUGUUAGCGGGAUCCCAACCCUCCCUCUAACCUGGGACAGUGGUAUAACAGUACGAACUAUAAAAAUCAGUUGAAAAAGGCUUAAUUCAUCAGAUGGACAAAAUUACAAGUGGACGUGGCCAAGUACUUAAACAUCCCAACACAAAAAGACACAAUGAACAGUUCUGAGAGUACUUGCAGUUAUCUGACAGCUAGUUCAAAGCCACUAACAACUAAUAAAAAAAUCAUGCAUCUAAGACUAAACUAUCAAUCCGUACACAUCCAACAACCAAUGGAUUUAGUGUAAAGACGUCAUAAACAGCCAGAGAAAAGCAUGACCUUGUGCAAUGCCAAGUUACAGGUAUCGACAGAUUGUAGAUCCAUGAAUAUGUGUAUGUAUAUGUUACAGUAAAUAGGUGAAAUUAGGAAUUACACGUAAUUACUAAACAUUUCAGUAAAUACCUGUAAUUACUAGCCAAUUUAGUAAUUACAUGUAUUUACUGGUUGUUUCAGUGAUUACUGGUAUUCACUGAUUUUUUUUGUCAUUUUUACAGCUAUUUACUAACUUGAUAUAUUUGUUAUAAAAUUAAAGAUAUAUAAUUCAAGAAACCAAAUAAUAAAGUAAAAGGGUAGGUAUUUUAGGGCUUACUUAAUUAAGGAUUAAGGAAUAUAACACACAUCAAAAGUGUAUACUAUUUAGUGUUUGUGAACUAAUACUGGAAAGUGGUUGUUUUAACAGUUUUGUAACUCCCUAAAAUUCAUUUUCAACAUGCAAGACAAUGAUAUCAAUCCACUAUUAAGAAAUGCAUUAAAUUGUGAGAAUUUUAUAGGCAACUUUGUCACCUCCAUAUUCCAUAAUGCCAAAUUUUGUUGAAUACUCCAGACAGUUCUUAAAUUCUCAGAAUUUAUUUAAAUCAAAAUCUCCCAAUGACACAAGUUAAAUUCCUUUACAAAAUAGGUUUAUUUAAGACUUCUUUUGUCAGACUGUUGCGAUAAAGCUGACAUUCUUCACAAACAAAUUUAUACACUUUGAUGGUGUAAGAGUCACAUUUCAUAUUUCUGUGUUUCUCUUUUUUAUGAGUUUUUCAAGACCUCCAAACUUAAGCUUAUAAACCUGCAACAAAAUUUUAUCAUCGUUUUUACUUGUUUAAGAAUCAUCUUUUUGUGGAUUGUAUAAAUCAACUAACUUGUUCAUCCCUUUUGUUUUACUUUCAAUGUUGUCAUUCUGUUUCUUAUUGUCGAAACUGCGACUAUUAUCGCAAAAGCGAGACAUAGCAAACCAUUCUGUCGUCAGUAGCGUCCACACAUAUUCACUAUGUGGUUAAAGUUCUACUAAACCUGAACAGAAGCUUGUUUAUGAUCAGAAGAUAAUUUUCAAGAAGUAAAUUUUGUAAAAGUAAAAUUUAUUUUUCCGUAUUUUACUUAUAAAUGGACUGUUUUUAUGUCAGUGAACAUUACAUUCACACUGUGGUUAAAGCUUUUAAAAUUUUAAUAAUUUCUCAAACUAUCCUGGAUUUCUACCAAGCUUGGACAGAAGCUGUAUAUGAUCAUAAGAUAAUACCCAUAAGUAAAAAUAAAAUCCUUUUUCAUAUAUUCCUUAUAAAUGUACUUCGUUUUUCCCCAGUUAAUAUACACUCUGCAGGUUUUUUUUUAAACAUUUAUAAGAUUUCAUAAACCAUCCUGGAUUUUAACCAAAUUUGGACAGAAGCUUCUUACAGUACUUGUCAAAAGAUAGUUUCUGUAGGAAAAUUUUAAUAUUUUUUCCCCAUUUUUGUUGAGCCUGCAAGUAACAGCUAAAGUAGGCAAGAUAUUGGUUCCGCGAAACCUUACAAUUUUAAAACUGAAUACAUCAGUAAUAUAUCUCCAGCUACGCGUUGAAUUGUAGGUCACAUGCUUACGUUUUCAUUUAGGUCCACUUAUUCACUUGCAAGUGCACCAGUACCAGAUUGACUGCUAAAAUAUUAUUUCACUAUAUCAUUUUCAUUAAUUAUUUAACAAAAUAAAAAUCAUAUCUUAUUUUUUUGUAUAUAUCUCGUAGCUAAUGCUCCUAUAACAAAAAGGUACAUUUUAGGCUAAUCACUUUUUAAUAAAAGUACUGACUGAUGUUCUAUAGUUGGUAUUUCCAUAACUUUUGAUCAGCUGACCACAUUACAACAUUGUUUUAACAGUUAGUAAAUAGGUGUAAAAAUUCAUUUUAAAAUUAGUAAUUACUGGUAAUAACUGGGCCGUUUCAGGAAUUACUUGUAUUUACUAAGUGCAUUGGGGAUUACAUGUAAUUCCUGAAUUUUAGUAAUUACAUGUAAUUCCUAAUUUCACCUAUUUACUGUAACAUAUAUAACAUACUAGUAAUAUUUAGUUGGCUUUUAAUUUACUGAUAACAAAAUCAAUGUUUAUACCAAUAAAGUAUAACAGUACAACAUAAGAAAGAACUAUAAAAAUCAGUUUACGUCUCGGGCUGAUAUAGAGCUCUCAGAGUGAUACCCGGGCCGAUAUGGAAAAGGCAAUGUACAAAAUGUAUUAAUCUCUAUGUAUCGCAUUAGGGACGACAUAAAAAGUUCAAUGUAUAGGAUAAAAAAAACUUCAUUCAUAUAGUUUUUUUCACUACCCCCUCCCUAGACUUGUUCGCCUGUCUAGAUCAAUGUGCAUAUUACAUAUUUCAUAUAUCUAUAGAACAAUGUGAUUAUAUAUAGCGGGAUCACCUCCCUACUCCCCUCUUAACUUAAUUUGUGAAAAAUUGAUUGACCAAUAAGGAUAUAUAUAUACAAAACUUGCAGCAAUUUUGACCCCCACCCCCACAAAAUUUGAAUUAAGUUUUUUAUCCUUUAUUGAUCGAUUUUCUGAUGUCAACUCGUCCCUUAUCAUCUUAUACCUUUAUCUUUACCUAUCAUGUAUUUGCCACCUCUGUCAGAUGAACCACUGACACUUGUCUUUUGUCAGUGUGGAUUAAACUGGUUAAAACCCUAUGAAUUGUCACUAUAUACAUAUACACGGUCACAAUAACAACGAUGUACUAAUAAAAUUGGUUCGAUAGAAAUCGUCUGGCCAUAUGAGCUAAUGCAGUUGACCCAUUAUUUAUGGUAUUAGAGAUACGAAUUUGUGUUACAUAUUUAUUUUUCUCGUUUGAAUCGAAUUGUUUUACAUUUCAGAUUUCGGGGCCCUUUAUAACUGAAUAUGCGGUAUGUGGUUUGCUCAUUGUUGAAGGCCGUAUGGUGACCUGUAGCAGUAAACUUCUGUGUUAUUUGGUCUGUUGUGGAGAGCUGUCUCAUUGCCUAUCAUACCACAUCUCCUUUUUUUCUAUAUUGAGCACGAAAUAUUAACCUUGAUCAUGGAUAUAAACCAAUAGGAAACGAUCAUUUAACUUCCAGGAAAGGGGGGGGGGGGUACAUGUAUGUUUUUUUUUUGGGUCUUUUUUAAAUCCUGAUCCCCAAUUUGAUGGGAAAAAACAUGUUUUGGUCAAGCAGAUUACAAAACAAAAAUAUUCUAAAAGCAGAUUUCCCCCCUAAUUUAAAGGGUUAAAUAUCAAAAAUAAAUAAUCUGAUUGAUAAAUGUACGAAUGAUCCAGUUGUAUCUUCCCAGCAUAAAGGUGUAGUACAGAACAUUUGUGUAUCGCAUUAGGGACGACAUAAACAGAUCGAUGUAGGAUGAAACACUUUAUUCCUAUAGCUUUACCACUGAAACCCCUACCCCCCCCUCUUAACUUAAUUUGGGGGGGAAUGAUUGACCAAGAAGGAUAUAUAUACAAAAAUGCAGCCCUAAACAAUUUGAAUUAAGUUUUUUAUCCUUCAUUGAUCGAUUUUCUGAUGUCGUCUCUUGUCCCAUCUUAUAGAUGAUCCUACAUAAGAGUGUACCGAAAUAGAACGGCGAGUCAGUGUAAAGAAAGAAAAUCAUGAUAACGUUAGUUUCUUUUCCUGGACAUAUAUUCUCUUGUCAUGGGAAAAAGUAGGUUUAUUCAUAUGGACAAAGCACAUUAUAUAUGAUAGACAGGGGCAGAGCAGGCCUUUUUCUAAAGGGAUCCCAACCCAAAAUAAAGGAGGGGGUUCAAACUAUAUGUCCCCAUACAAAUGCAUUGAUCGUCCAAUAAAGGGGUUCCAACCCCCCGGAACCCUCCCCCUGGAUCCGCCACUGAUAGAUCAUGCUAGAUAAUCGUUGUUGAAAAAAAAGAACAACAUAACAUCACAAUACUCAUUCAAUAAAAAAAGCCGCGGGAAUCCUACAAGUUUCCGGAAAUAGAACAUUUGUAUCUCCUUUUCUGUUUGACUGUUCGGUCUCUAAGUUAAUGAUUUGUUGAAUUAAUGAUUUAAAUAUUAUAUUUAGGUUACAACCAUAUCUAUAAAAGACAUACAAAAUAAUAUUUUUGGUAGUCCAUUUAUGACGUCUUGCAAGGCUAUUAUAAUAUUUUUUUCUGGGACACCUACAUCGUGUAAAACAUUUUUGUAAAAAGGUGAGAAUAAAUGAAUGCUUUGUUAGCUAUAAACGCCUCCCAUUAUACGUGUUAUAUGGAGCUUAUCUAUAGUUUUUAUUGUGUAAUAUGUUGUUGUAAUGAUAAUGCAUAAAUAUAGUAUUAAGGCCUCACUGUAGUUCUGUUUAUUUUCCCCUUUUUUCAAAACUACAUGUAUAUACCGUUUUACGUCACUAGCACACUAUGUAACGCAUUCAUCUUACCGACUAUUUUAACGUGUGAAAUUAAGACUAUUGACCUAUCAACUCUUCAAAACUGUUAGCAUUAAGAAACUAAUUAAAUUGAUCCUUCAACAACAGAUGCCAACAAUAAGAACUUGAUAGGUUUAAAUGUGUUUUAUGAAUUUAUUUCCAUCUUAAUCAUCAAUUUCUUCGUCUGUUAAACCCUUUAAGAUUUUUCUUUUCCACUUCACCCGGGCUUUUAAGUAGGACCGAUACAAGGACGUCACACCACUCCUAACCGUGUAUAAAAUAAGCCCCGACUACUUUCUAACCCAACAUGGUACACAAAGGGACGUAACACCACUACUAACUGUGACUGUAUAAAAUAAGUCCCGACUCCCUACUAGCCUAAUAUGAAAUAUACACAGUCUCCACGUGGACGCUUUAAAUCCAAUCAUAUUCCUAUAAAUGUGUAGGAGGUAAUGGCGGUAAGAUAAUGUUUGUUACACCAUAGACAACAUAGACUGUUACAGUGAUUUACAGAGAGGUGCCUACAGUCUGCAGAGUUUAACCUUAAAUUUAUUUGCUUUUAAUUACAGAGUUGAACAAGGACACAAUUACUGGAGUUGAACUUUAUUGAACAUGUUGAAAGGAUGAAUGUCUUGGAGGAUUAUUUGACGAAUAAUUGAUGGAUCGGUUAAGCCGCUAAUUAGCAAGAAAGUGUGAAAACGCAAGCAGACGAUACACAUGAUAAAUCUCAUGUCUGUGUCUGUGAUGUUUGCGGUAAAGGGUUUAGACAGCCUGUUCAUUUACAGGUUCACAUGAGAACACAUACAGGUGUAAAACCUCACUACUGUGGAGUAUGCGGUAAAGGUUUUAAUCGACUUGGUAAUUUACAGAGUCACAUGAGAAUACAUACGGGUGAAAAACCGUAUGACUGUGGUGUCUGUGGUAAAGGGUUUAGUCAGUCGGGUACUUUAAAAACUCACAUGAGAACACAUACUGACGAUAAACCUCAUACCUGUAAUGUAUGUGGUAAAGGGUUUAGUCAAUCGGGUAGUUUAAAGAGUCACAUGAAAACACAUACGGACGAUAAACCUCAUGCCUGUGGUAUAUGUGGUAAAGGUUUUAGUCAGCGUCCUUAUUUACAGAGGCACAUGCAAACACAUACAGGUGAAAAACCUCAUCACUGCGGUGAAUGUGGUACAGGGUUUAGUCCACGUCGGUAUUUACAGAGGCACAUGAGAACACAUACAGGUGAAAACCCUCAUCACUGUGGUAUAUGUGGUAAAGGCUUUAGUCAUCGUCGCUAUUUACAGAAGCACAUGAGGACACAUACAGGUGAACAACCUCAUGACUGUGAUGUGUGUGGUAAAGGGUUUAGUCAGCGUCGUUAUUUACAGAUUCACAUGAGAAUACAUACAGGUGAAAAACCUCAUGACUGCAAUGUAUGUGGUAAAGGCUUCAGUCGGCUUGAUAGAUUAAAGAGUCAUAUAAAAAUACAUACGGACGAUAAACCACAUGUCUGUGAUUUAUGUGGUAGAGGAUUUAGUCAGUAUUUGUAUUUGCAGAGACACAAAAGAACACAUACAGGUUAUAAACCUCAUGACUGUGCCGUAUGUGGUAAAGACUUUAGUCGGGUGGAUGGUUUAAAGAGUCACAUGAAAACGCAUACGGACGAUAAACCGCAUGUCUGUGAUGUAUGUGGUAAAGGCUUUAGUCAGCGUCGUAAUUUACACAUGAGAAUACAUACAGGUGAACAACCUCAUGACUGUGAUGUGUGUGGUAAAGGGUUCAGUCAGUCGGGUUAUUUACAGAGGCACAUGAAAACACAUACGGGCGAUAAACCUCAUGGCAGUGUAUAUGUACCUCAUGACUGACGUAUGUUGCAAAAAGUUUAUUCACCUUCAUGAUUUACAGAGACACAUGAGAACACAUACAGGUGAUAAACCUUAUGACUGUGACGUAUGCGGUAAAAAGUUUAGUCGUCUUUGUAAUUUACAGACACACAUGAGAAUACAUACCGGUGAUUACCCUCAUGAAUGUGGUGUAUGCGGUAAAGGAUUUGGUCGGCUUGAUCAUUUACAGAAUCACACAAAAACACAUAAUGGCGAUAAACCUCAUAUCGAUGAUGUAUCCGUUAAAAACUUUAAUAAGCUUGGUAUUUUACAUGAUACUAGUAAUAAAUAAUAGCGAUAAAACUUAUAUCGGUGAUGUAUGCGUUAUAAAGUUUAAUGGGCUUGGUAUUUUACAUGAGAACAAAUACAGGUGAUUAACCUCUUGAAAGCGAUGUAAUUAUAUAAGUGGUUAAGUGUUUAGCCACGGUAGUUUACAGAUUAACAUGAGAACUCAUACCUAUAGUAAGAUCUGUGACGUAUACAUAUAUGGUUAAGAAUGUAUGCAUUUUAUUGAUUUGCACAUACUCAUAAUUGAAGCAUAUGAAAAUAUAUAUAGCUGAUACACCUUAUGUUUGUGAUGUAUGCGGUAAAGGAGUUACCAAUCCUAGUAGUUAAUAGUUUCGCAUGAAAACACAUACAAUGUACAGAGACACAUGAGAACCACAUAUACAGCCGAUAAAUCUCAUUAUUGUGAUGUUGAUGGUAAAAUGUUUAGUUAUCUUAG
rnacentral:lncRNA from 1 species